UACGUAGGGAGCAAGCGUUGUCCGGAAUCAUUGGGCGUAAAGCGCGCGUAGGUGGCCUCAUAAGUCCGUUGUGAAAGUCAAAGGCUCAACCUUUGAAAGCCGAUGGAUACUGUGAGACUAGAGUACGGAAGAGGCGAGUGGAAUUCCUGGUGUAGCGGUGAAAUGCGCAGAUAUCAGGAGGAACACCGGUGGCGAAGGCGCCACUCUGGGCCGAAACUGACGCUGAGGAGCGAAAGCGUGGGUAGCAAACAGG
rnacentral:rRNA from 1 species